rnacentral:rRNA from 1 species
UGGGGAAUAUUGGACAAUGGGGGCAACCCUGAUCCAGCAAUGCCGCGUGAGUGAUGAAGGCCUUCGGGUUGUAAAGCUCUUUUGUCAGGGACGAUGAUGACGGUACCUGACGAAUAAGCUCCGGCUAACUUCGUGCCAGCAGCCGCGGUAAUACGAAGGGAGCUAGCGUUGUUCGGAAUUACUGGGCGUAAAGGGCGCGUAGGCGGUCUUAUAAGUUUGGUGUGAAAGCCCUGGGCUUAACCUGGGAACUGCAUUGGAUACUGUAAGACUUGAGACCGAGAGAGGGAAAUGGAAUUGCGAGUGUAGAGGUGAAAUUCGUAGAUAUUCGCAAGAACACCAGUGGCGAAGGCGAUUUCCUGGCUCGGUACUGACGCUAAGGCGCGAAAGCGUGGGGAGCAAA